rnacentral:misc_RNA from 1 species
CCAAACUUGGUCAUUUAGAGGAAGUAAAAGUCGUAACAAGGUUUCCGUAGGUAAGUUGAAAGUAUUCUUAACCAUAAAAAUGCUUGAAUAGCAUGCUAACGUUUUUCUUUUUAGGUGAACCUGCGGAAGGAUCAUUACUGAGAGUAACUCAUAAGAGUGCCUCCCGUCCUUUGCAGGCCCCUUGGGGCUUUUUGAUUUUGCUUCGGCGGGGUUACCCCGCCGGAACACCCUCAAAAAAAUCUCGAAAAAAACUGUUCUGUCCGAGAAGUUUUUUGCGAAUAAUCAAAACUUUCAACAACGGAUCUCUUGGUUCUGGCAUCGAUGAAGAACGCAGC